CGCACGAGCGUAACCCCUGUUCUUCAGUUGCCAUAGGGUGAUGCCGGGCACUCUGGAGAGACUGCCCAGGAUAACGGGGGAGGAAGGUGGGGAUGACGUCAAGUCAGCAUGGCCUUUAUGCCUGGGGCUACACACGUGCUACAAUGGCCGGUACAAAGGGUUGCAAUCCCGCAAGGGGGAGCCAAUCCCAAAAAACCGGCCUCAGUUCAGAUUGUGGUCUGCAACCCGACCACAUGAAGGUGGAAUCGCUAGUAAUCGCGGAUCAGCACGCCGCGGUGAAUACGUUCCCGGGCCUUGUACACACCGCCCGUCACACCACGAAAGUCAGCUGUACCUGACGUCGCUGGAGCUAACCCGCAAGGGAGGCAGGUGCCCACGGUAUGGUUGGUGAUUGGGGUGAAGUCGUAACAAGGUAGCCGUAGGGGAACCUGCGGCUGGAUCACCUCCUUU
rnacentral:rRNA from 1 species